GAUGAACGCUGGCUACAGGCUUAACACAUGCAAGUCGAGGGGAAACGCCGGGGAAGCUUGCUUCCCCGGGCGUCGACCGGCGCACGGGUGAGUAACGCGUAUCCAACCUGCCUCUGACUGAGGGAUAACCCGUCGAAAGUCGGCCUAAUACCUCAUGGCAUCGUCUGCGGGCAUCCAACGACGAUUAAAGAUUUCAUCGGUCAGGGAUGGGGAUGCGUCUGAUUAGCUAGUUGGCGGGGUAACGGCCCACCAAGGCGACGAUCAGUAGGGGUUCUGAGAGGAAGGUCCCCCACAUUGGAACUGAGACACGGUCCAAACUCCUACGGGAGGCAGCAGUGAGGAAUAUUGGUCAAUGGGCGAGAGCCUGAACCAGCCAAGUAGCGUGCAGGAUGACGGCCCUAUGGGUUGUAAACUGCUUUUAUGCGGGGAUAAAGUGAGGGACGUGUCCUUCAUUGCAGGUACCGCAUGAAUAAGAACCGGCUAAUUCCGUG
rnacentral:rRNA from 1 species